UACGAAGGGUGCAAACGUUGCUCGGAAUCAUUGGGCGUAAAACGCACGUAGGCGGCUUCGCAAGUCGGAUGUGAAAUCCCACGGCUCAACCAUGGACCUGCAUCCGAAACUGUGAGGCUUGAGUAUGGAAGAGGGUCGCGGAAUUCCCGGUGUAGAGGUGAAAUUCGUAGAUAUCGGGAGGAACACCAGUGGCGAAGGCGGCGACCUGGGCCAAUACUGACGCUGAGAUGCGAAAGCGUGGGGAGCAAACAGG
rnacentral:rRNA from 1 species